AACUUAGUCACCUUUAUUAUUAAAAAAAUUGCAAAUGGAGGACGACCACCUACAAAGAAAAAGAAUAAAGAGUUUCAUUGGCAUGCCAACGGCUUCAGCAGCUCCAAAUGAUUACCAAGAAAUCUGUUAUGCAUGGACUGUUGAACUUAGAGAAAAUGCAACACAUUCUAUUUGAGGGACAAAUGGGCACUCUACAUGCUACAGACUCUGUGCAAAGUAAUGCUUAUUUGAUUACUCUCGUACAUGUACCUCAGCUCUCCGUUCAGCCCUCAAUCUCGAAGCUCCAGUAUAUGCCAGUACAAACUACCACAUCACGUCUUACAACUGCCUAUAGUCUCUACAGUAAUUAAUGCUACUCAGCAAGCAUAUUCUGGCGAAUACAAUAUUGAACAAACCACUGCACUAGCUUAUACAACGACAUUUUUUUUUUCAUAUUUUUAAUAAAAAAUUGUUAAUAAACAUACUAUUUAAAUAAAAAAUUGUUAUCGUUAUUUUA